UACGAAGGGGGCUAGCGUUGCUCGGAAUUACUGGGCGUAAAGGGCGCGUAGGCGGACAGUUUAGUCAGAAGUGAAAGCCCAGGGCUCAACCCUGGAAUUGCCUUUGAUACUGGCUGUCUUGAGUACGGGAGAGGUGUGUGGAACUCCGAGUGUAGAGGUGAAAUUCGUAGAUAUUCGGAAGAACACCAGUGGCGAAGGCGACACACUGGCCCGUUACUGACGCUGAGGCGCGAAAGCGUGGGGAGCAAACAGG
rnacentral:rRNA from 1 species